AAAUGAAGCACAAAGGGCAUUGACGCAUUAUUGGCUUCAGCGGCCCGCGAAUAUUUCAAGAGAAAUAAACCCAAAUUUGGAAUUUCAUAGAAACUCAGGGAACUCUCAACUCUCCUUCUCACCCCUUUCUCUCUCCACUCUGCCUCCAAAUAUUUUUGCUCACUCUCGCUUCCCGCUCUCUCUUCCCCCCAUCUUUUUCCAUUUCUCUCUCAAAACGGAAACCCUAACAAUCCAAAUAUCACUUUUGAGUUCGCCUUCUUCUUCUUCUCUUGUUCUAUCUACCUCUCACUCACUCGCUGAGCUUUUUCUCAUCAGCAAGAUUUCUAGGGUUUUUGAAACCUCAGCGUAAUUACAUAUUCGAUCUUCGUUCCCUAGAAAUUUACUCGAGCGCCCUGCUUGUUCGUUUUCGUCAUUUCUGAGCUUAAUUUUGGCUGUUUGGUUAUCAAGCUCUGGACUUGGGGUAAUACAUUGACUUGAUCUGUAUUUUUUAAGGCGAUAGUACUUGUGGUUCUUCACAUUUUAUGUUUACUUAUAUAUGUUUGGAUUUGUGUUGUUUUUAUUAUGCAUUUGUAAAGACGUGGUUGUUUCUAAGAGUAUGUUUGGUAGCUGAAAAGAAAGAUGGAGGAAAGAAGAAGAAAAUUCAGUGUUCAAGUCCUUUUGGUUUGGUUUUUUAUUUUUAAAGUAGGCAGAAAAUUCAGUAUAAGCUUAUUUGAAUUUUGAAAAAUGAUAGAUGGUUCAAGGAAGGAAAGACAUACAUCAAUACAUGGAAUUGGGUAGUACUUAGUAGAUCACUGUAGGAUAAAGUAAAUAAUGAGUUUAUGGUUUUGAUUAAGAUACUUGCCGGAAAGGGUGGGCCUGAUUGAUUUCAUAUUCACAUCUGGAAUUACUUUGGUCAUUUAUACAUAUGUACGGUUACCAUGUUGAUUGGUUCUGAUUCUUUCAAUAGGUAUUUUGUCUGCAGGUUUGGAAUCUCUGGUUUGGGUGGUAGUUUGAUGUCAAAGGAACUGCUCUGAACCUUUUGGUCAGGAAAGGCCAGAUUGUUGUCUUUCAUACUUUUACAGGACAUCUCAUUUUGAUAGCACUUACUG
rnacentral:lncRNA from 1 species